rnacentral:rRNA from 1 species
AGCUGGCUGGUCCCAUGAGGUGACUUCUGCCCAGUGCUCUGAUUGUCAAUGCGAAGAGAUUCAGCCAAGCGCGGGUAAACGGCGGGAGUAACUAUGACUCUCUUAAGGUAGCCAAAUGCCUCGUCAACCAAUUAUUGACGCGCAUGAAUGGAUCAACGAGAUUCCUGCUGUCCCUAGUUGCCGUCUGGUGAACCAACAGCCAAGGGAACGGGCUUGGAUGUGUCAGCGGGGAAAGAAGACCCUGUUGAGUUUGACUCUAGUUUGAUGCUGUGCAGCGACAUGGAGGGUGUAGCACAGGUGGGAGGCCAGUGCCAUUGCCACAACCGUGUGUGUUCUCUGUGUGAGACGCCACGUUCGUCGUCGUCGUCGUCGUGAGAGAUUGCCUUGGUGCAAACCAGCAGUGAAAUACCACUACCUUCACCGUCGCUUUACUCAUCGAGUUGUCUGGGACCGGCAGCCAUUCAAUCAGCUCUUCCCUUGCGGAGGGGCUGUGGCUAAUACCCGCUUCGUGCGCAAAGUGUGGCACUUCGGUGCUGCACGACCCUGGAGCUGCAUUCCAAUCAGAAGCCUCGAGACAUCGAUCAGUUGGGGAGUUUGGCUGGGGCGGCACGCCUGUUACAUCACAACGCAGGCGUCCUGAAGCAAUGCUCAGAUGGAACAGAAAUCUCCCGCAGAGGAGAAGGCCAAAGGUGCUGCUGAUGCUGCGACUUCCAGUGCAAGUCCAAAACAUGCAAGUGUGGCCUAACGAUCCUUUGGUUGAGUGCACGAGUUUGGGAUAUUGAAGCCAGAGGUGUCAGAAAAAUUACCACAGGGAUAACUGGCUUGUGGCUGCCAAGCGUUCAAAGCGACGUCGCUUUUUGAUCCUUCGAUGUCGGCUCUUCCUAGCUUCCCACCCGCAGCCGAGUGGAAGAGUUGGAUUGUUCACCCACCAACAGGGAACGUGAGCUGG